AUGUGCGCCCGCGCCUGCGGCACAUCGCACCUGCGUCUCCGCGGCCGGCUCGCGCUUCUGUCCUGCGCCGGCGUCCCGCGACUCGCUCGCCGGCUUGGCGCCCACCGGCUCGCGCGUGCAUCCCGGCCACUCCUGCGUCCCGACCUCGUCCGACCCCAUGCCGGUUGGCCGGGUCGCCGCCUUGCGCGCCGGGUCCCCGCACCCGGCCGUCUCCGCCUCGUCCUCGGCUCCAGCAGCGCAGCGCCGGGUCCGGCCCCGUCCGCUAGCCGGCUUCCGCGCGUCCCGGCCAGCUUCUGUGCCCCUGGUCCGGGCUCCCGCUCGCACGCCCCGGCAGGCCGGCUUCCGCCCGCGCCGCCCCGCCACUCGGCUCCGUCUCCCCCGGUUGGCUCCGCCCCCGCACCCGUCCUCGCGUGCCUCCGCGUACGACCACGAUCGUGUGCCGGCUCCGCCCUCCCUGCGCGCCCGCCGGCUCCGCUCCGGCCGGCUCCGCCCUCGCUCCGCAACCCAGCGCGUUGUACGCCCGUGCCGGCAGCAACCCGCGCCCGCACCCUGCUCCGCCUCGACCCCGAGCCUUGUCUCUUCCGGCUCCCCCGCCAUCUGCGCUCCCGGUCCGCACCGGCUCUGGGUCGCCACCCCGAGCCCGGCCGCGUCCGACCUCGCGCCCAUCCGACCCGGCUGGCUGCGCUGGCCGGCCUCCUGUCGCGUCGCCCGCUCCUCUAUGCGCACCCGCACUGCCGGCUCCUCCUUGCGCGCCCUCGCCGGCUCCACCCGCAACCUGGCCUGCCGGCUCCGCCCUCGCCGGCUCCCCCGCAACCCAGCCUGCCGGCUUCGCCCGCGCCGGCUCCCACGCUGGCUGGCUCCCCCGCAACCCGGCCUGCCGGCUUCCGCCGCAACCCGGCCGCCGGCUUCCGCCGCGUCCUGCCCCUAUCGGCUCCUCGCACUUCGGCUUCGCGUGCCCGCGCUGCUCAGCCGCCACGGGCAGAUGCUGCGUGA
rnacentral:rRNA from 1 species